CGCGUAGGUGGUAGUGCAAGUCUGAGGUGGAAUCUUAGGGCUUAACCCUAAAAUUGCCUUGGAAACUGCAUUACUUGAGUCAGUGAGGGGAGGGUAGAAUUCCUGGUGUAGCGGUGAAAUGCGUAGAUAUCAGGAGGAAGGCCGGUGGCGAAGGCGGCCCUCUGGCGCUGAACUGACACUGAGGCGCGAAAGCGUGGGGAGCAAACAGGAUUAGAUACCCUGGUAGUCCACGCCCUAAACGGUGGGUACUAGGUGUAGGGCUCGUAAGGGUUCUGUGCCGAAGCGAAAGCAUUAAGCACCCCGCCUGGGGAGUACGGCCGCAAGGUUGAA
rnacentral:rRNA from 1 species